UGCGCCUACACUGGAUGAGUCGGAGUCCAUCCCACGUGUACUGUGUUAACUGUCAAUGUCUCCCGGAGCCCAAUUCCCGGAAGCUGUGAGUUCUGAGAGAAGUUCCUGCGCUCGGUGCCCUGAGUCUGCGAAUCCCCACCAUGAGCAACCCAGGCGUGCUGUCCUUCACCCAGCAAGCCUGGGAGCAGGUCCUGGCCAAAGUGAAACGGGCCGUGGUCUACCUGGACGCCGCCUGCGCCGAGAGCCUGCACUGGGGCUGCGGGUCCUCACGGCUGCUGGAGGCGGUGGGGAACUCUGCGUGUUACCUGCGGGAGUUCGAGCCUGCCGCAGUUGGUGGCGGAGCCGAGCAGCCCAAAGCGGUGUUUGUGUUGAGUUGCCUGCUGAAAGGCCGGACCUUGGAGACCCUACGGGACAUCAUCUGCCGCAGUCACUUCCAGUAUUGUGUGGUGGUCACGGCUGUGAAUCACGCAGUCCACCUCACGGCUAAUCAUGUGCCGCCGGCGGCGGCGGCUGAGCUGGAAGGGCAGCAGCCAGUGUUCGAGCAACUGGAGGAGAAGCUGUGUGAGUGGAUGGGCAACAUGAACUACACGGCUGAGGUGCUGCACGUCCCGUUGUUACUCGCACCUGCUGCUCCUCACCUUGCCUUGACUCCAGCUUUUGCUUCCCUUUUCCCACUAUUACCCCAGGAUGUGCAUAUCCUCAACCGUGCCCGACCGGACAAGAGGAGGCUGGGAAACCUAGCUGAGGUGGAUGCCACUACCCUAACCCCUGAGCUGCUGCUGACGAUUAGGUGCCUGGUGUCCGGCCUCAGUUCCCUGUGUGAGCAUUUAGGGGUACGGGAGGAGUGUUUUGCUGUAGGUUCCCUCAGUCGGAUCAUCGCUGCAGAUCUGGCCAAUUUUGCUCCCGCCAAGAACAGGAGGAAGACCGCCACAGGCAGGGCAUCAGUGGUCUUUGUGGACAGAACUCUGGAUCUCACAGGGGCGGUUGGACAUCAUGGAGACAACUUGGUGGAGAAGAUCCUUUCAGUGCUUCCCCAGCUUCCGUGCCACACCAAUGACGUUAUGGUUAACAUGGUGGAACUCACUGCACUCCAGGCUGAGGAGGAGAAUCAGAAUAUGGUUGCACACGGCUGUCUCGCACAAUCCAAUGACCCCGCAGCCAAAGCCCUGUGGGAAGCCUUAUUGAACACCAAGCACAAAGAGGCAGUGAUGGAAGUCCGGAGACAUCUAGUGGAAGCAGCAAGCAGAGAAAACCUGCCAAUCAAGAUGAGUAUGGGGAGAGUCACUCCAGGACAGCUCACGUCCUAUAUUCAUCUCUUCAAGAACAACCUCAAAGCUCUAAAGAAUCACUGUGGGCUCCUGCAGCUUGGGCUGGCCACUGUUCAAACUCUGAAACACCCGCAGACUGCCAAGUGGGACAACUUUCUGGCUUUUGAAAGGCUCCUUCUCCAGAGCAUUGGGGAAUCGACAAUGUCUGUUGUGUUAAAUCAGCUGCUUCCCAUGAUUAAGCCUUCGAACCAGAGGACUAAUGAUGACUACAGCCCCGAAGAGCUGCUGAUCCUCCUGAUAUAUAUUUAUUCUGUCGGUGGAGAGUUCUCAGUGGACAAAGACCUGGGUGAAGGUGAAGAAAAAGUGAAGAAAGCAUUGGCUCAAGUCUUUUGUGAGGAGUCUGAAUUGUCACCUUUGCUGCAAAAAAUCACAGGCUGUGACUCUUCAAUUAACCUGACAUUUCACAAGUCCAGAAGUGCCAUGGAUGAACUCUUUACUUCGCUUCGGGAUAUUGCUGGAGCUCGAAAUCUCAUGAAACAGUUUAAAUCUGUAUAUGUUCCUGGAAAUCAUACCCACCAGGCAUCCUAUAAGCCAUUGUUGAAGCAGGUUGUGGAGGAAAUAUUUAAUCCCGAGAGGCCAGAUCCCGUUGACAUUGAACACAUGUCUUCAGGCCUCACUGAUCUCCUUAAAACUGGAUUCAGCAUGUUCAUGAAGCACAGGUGCUUUCCCUCUCCAGUACCUAUGCAGCUCCUCAGUCAACUCCACGCCCGAACUGGUCAUCAAGACACAGCCCAUGUGAGGGAGUUCUCCCGGGGUCAUCUGCUGUUACGCUGUCUGCUUCUCUGGGACUUGGUCCCAGGACUCACUGGCAGUACAGCCCCAGGAGAAGAAAUUUGCACAGUGGUAUAAACUGCUUCCACACACUGCAUCUUCAUUCUGUAUCAGCAGCCAACAGCCAUUGCUUUCCUGCCACUUGCUGCCCUGCUCUUUGCCUCUGGGACCCGCUUUCCCCCCUUCUCACUCAAGACCCACUGAUGCUGUGCCUGAAAGGAACAGACAGAGCCUGAUGAAAUAAAGCAUGGGGCACCUGCAUGGGCCUUACACACAGCAGGCACCCGCUAAACGUUGGGAGUGGCCCUGUGAGGGCGCCCGUUCAGAGAGCAGCUUCAGUCAGUGGUUCCUCUUGCCAGCUUACUGCCCUUAAGCCGAAGCUACGUUUCAACAACUUCACGAGGGAGAGAAGGCAGCAGCCAGGCCAGUCAACUCCAGUGACCCUCACAGUAUUCCCUGACCCUCCUUUGUAGCAGCGACUAAGCAAGGCGAAGCCAGUCACUGUUCUGUCAUUAUGUCACCCCAGAGAAGCAGCGACCCACGGGCUCCCACUCACCGCCCAGCAGUGCCCUGCUGGGGGAGACGACGGAAGCCCACCUCGCCUCUGUCAGAGAAACGUGGUGGGCUCGUCUUCUGUCCACAGACGGCAUGGAAAUCUGUUUCUUCCACCUUCUUUGUCUCUCUGGGGAAGAGAACAGAAGCAAAGAGGCUGGUUUUGUAGUGUGAGGAUUCAAGGGAGCCAGCAGGAGAAAUGUCCUAACAGCGUUAGGUAGGAGGGUGAGUGUUGUCAGGGGAGGUUUUGGGGAUCACUUUUCUAUUCCAUAUCUCUCACUUUUCUGUUUGCUUUUGUAAAUAAUAGAAGGCCAUCUAGUAUAUGCUCUGUUAACACCACUCACCUCCUUCUACUGCUCAUGUUUGUUCACAAGAGGCAAUAGGGAGUGCUGGUAACAUCCGGAGUCAGAUAGUCUGGGCUAGAACUCGAGCUCCCGCACUUACCAGCUGUGUGACCAUGGGUAUGUCACUUAAGCCCUCUGUGCCUAAGUUGCCUCAUCGGUAAAAUGCGGAUGAUAAUAGUACCUACUUUACAGGACUGUGGUGAGGAUUAAAUGAGUUCAUACAUACAGAGGAUUCCCAGCAGUACCUGGCCUACAGGAAGUGCUAAGUAUGUACUUGCUAUUUUUAUUUUCCAAGUUCGUGAUCCUGGCCAGACUGUGGCUCUUGAGAAAAGAGCCACCUUGAGUGUCUUUGUAUUGCUGUACAGAGCCCGUGUGUGGGCAUUUGGUGCAUACAGAUGAACUGCUGAGUGAACAAAUGAAUCACACAGAAGAGAACUGACACCUUCCCCCAAAGUCACAAGCAUUUCCUGUCUCACUGCCGACUUGCUCUUGCUAAGAGACGUGGACUUUCUCUGCCUGUGGGCAGCCAUGUUUAUACGGCUGUGUGGUGUUUUUCCAGACCCCCUUUCUCUUCUAUCCUAUGAGUCCAGCCUUUAUGUCCUCGGUCUCAGAGGACACAGACCCUCCCUCCUGGAGCAAGGUGUGGGAGCCGGUGAAAUUCUGUGCCCGUGCCGUGACAAAAUGGCUCAAGGGUAGAGAGGCCAGCUGGGCUAGACCCUGGCCACCUGGCACGGACGCAGAAGCCCAAAACAACUCAGACCCCAGACUCCACCAGGAGCACUUCAGAAGCUCCGCCUCUGCCCCGCAAGAGCUCCUCAGUCGGCCCCAGUGCUGUAGGGAGGCCUCGGAAGUGGCUCACAGAAAUCAACCCUAUUGAUGUAAUAAAUGUCCGCAGACAGUGAAAGUUAGUAAAAAUGCCUGUGUGUCCAAGAUUCUCUGCCUCAAAUAAACCCUGUGUGAGAGGGAAGUCAAGGCAGCUGUAUUUUGCCCUUACUAAAGUCGGAACCUCAUUUGCGUCAGGCUGCAACUUGUUAAAGUC